GUGAGGAGAAGAAAUGGUGGCGAUCCAUCUUACUUUUCAAUACAGGCCUGACACUAGAGACUAUAGAGGCAAGAUAGGGCCAACAGUUCUGUAGGCUAUUACCGUUUACCUUAUGGCUUACAAAGGGCACGCACUAACCUUGUAUUACCAUCUAUGCCAAACAACAUCAAAACAAAAAAAGCUUUUUUCAAAAGUGUUUCAGAUUGGCAAAUCAAUUUUAAAGACCUAACAAGAAACUGCGUGACAUUUUAAACCUCGGAGCCUAUUAACAAUCAAACGGAAUAUAGAGUUACAGAGAGCGUGCUGUAUGAAAAGCCUAUUAGCGGGUUACCACACAGGAAAAUACUGUUUCUGUUACAAUGUUAUUCUACCAACAGGGCUGUCAACAGUGUAUCUAAUUUCCUAUGUAGCAGGUGAAAACAUUCCACGUGGCCCGCAAACUUUAAACCAAUUUUUGUCUUUCAUUAUUAAUAAAAAUAAAAUCUUCCUUCAGCUACAGUAGAGACCUCACCGCGCUGUGCUGCCCCCGGACACCUGGCUCAAAGCACCAACAACCGCAUUCUCCAGUUUUUCUUUUCUUUUCUUUCUUUCUCUCCUUUUUUUUUUUUCUCUUUCUUGCAUGUUGCAAUACAAAUGGAAGGGCCACGAGGAAACCUGAAAAACCGGGCGGGCAUCCGUGCAUCUCCAUGACCACGGUGUGAACUUUUUCCUUCAAGGCCCAUAAUAAUGGCUGCUGUUGGUGUUGUCUGCGCCGCGGCCCGUCGCGGUGAUAUAUGGGGGUCAGUGGGCCGGGACGACCUGCUCGGAAUGAGCGGCCCGGUGAGCAGCAAAGCUCGGUACUCUGGCGGACACAAACCCGGGGACAGCACAGCUAGAACAUGCUGCUGUGGCGCCAUAAUUCACGCAGUUGUCAAGCUGUCACCAGGAUUAUUUGGCUCGAUAUGACACUGCACUGGAAGCUCAUCCCACGUUGCCUUUUCGUCACUGCACCUGAACUUUUCCCUGACCCGAGCUGAGCGUAUUGAGUCGACUGGGAAGUUAUUUGAGAUUCGAAGACAAAGAAGAUGAUGGGACCCAAAGGGCCUCCAGCUGGUAUCCUGUUUGUUUUUAUUAUCAAAUAGUGUUGCACUAUUCCAGACUUUUCUUUUGUACAAAAGUAGCAGUUGAUUGUGUUUUAAUCUCAUCUGUUUCUGCGUAAAACAAAUGAAUCAGUGUUAUUUAUACAAAUCGAGGCACCUUAUCACUGUCAGCGAAGAGGAGUUAGAGGCACGGACCUCUGGAGGUUGGCCAGACGGUGUUCCAUAUCUUCCCACAAUGUUGACACUCGGAGCUCUUAACAGUCAGGCUUGGGUUACCGAUACACUCAACCGAAGAUAACUCUUUCUGCGAGGUUUACACCGGCCAACUUCAAGGCUAAUGCGAAAUUCAACGCUUUAAGCUGAUUGGGGCCAUCUCUCAUGGACGCAGACCAGCACCGGGACUGACCAGGACAUGGGAACUGUGCUUUCAUAGAUUGUCGAAAUAAAGCAGUUUGAAUUGUCAUUAUGAACUUAGCGGGUCUUUAUUGUGAGUGAAAAUGUUCUCAGGACUUAAAUACUAGGCAAGUGUGCGAUAGCUGAGGUUAAAUUUUAAAGGUAAGUGCAAAAUAGAGUAAUAAUAAUAAUAACUUUGUUAAUGUUUAACUGUCUAAAUUGAACAUUAUGAUCAAACCUGUUGAAAAACUAUUGUAUUCUGAGUUCUCCUGACACACUGUAAGAGCAACAGAUGAGCCCGUUUCAUUUUUAUCAUUAUCAUUUAAAUGGAUUUCAUGCCAUUUGUACCAAAUGAGAAAUUCUUAAAUUAAUUGAAGUGGUAAAUAAGAUUUUCAGUGUCAGAAGCAAACCUUGCCUAAACCUAAAUGUAAAUUGCUCUUUUUACUCGUGUGCAUUUCAACCUCAUGUAAUAGUAUUGUUACAACAGUGUAGCCACUUUAUUUUAAACCCAUUUCCACACUAGUCUCAUAACAAGUGCAGGUUGAAUUGUAUCAUAUUAAGUCUUAUCUUGAGGAUAUUAGUAGUUAUGAAAAAUUCCUGCUGCUGUUAUGCUCUUAUGCAUCAUAUUUAGUGCAAGAUUCAGAAACACAAGGUUAAUCUAUGCAUAAUGUUAUAAUAUUAUAACACAAAUUAAGUCCACGUAGCCUAUUACACUUAUAUUUAAAUGAAAAUACAUGGCAGUAAAAUAGAGAAUAGAGAUUAUUUUAGUUUAAUAAUGAGCUUAAGCCACAUCACGCGUUGCAAGAUGAGAAUAAGCAGAUUAUAUUAUAAUACAUAUUACAAUAACCAUUGAUUUUUAUGAUUUGAAUGAAAUAAAUUCCACUUCCGGGACAUUUUUAUAAUACAGUUUUUAAGAAACAGUGAAAUGUACUCACAGGUCAUGACGGUUUGCUUCCAGCAGUAAGAUCUGACUCGCGCUCUGCAGAGGAUCACUUCAAAUGAAAAUAAGGCAGAUUUUCAGAUCUAUUUCUGACCCUGGGGCAUUCAUUAUUCAGCAAGUCACGUGAACGGGGGAAUUAAAAUUUCAGUACAUUGGAAGUGACCUCUAUUCGCGAAUCAAAUGACUUGAAAUGUCUGAUUUAACUAGUUGGGACUUUUUUGGAGUCUGCGCACAAUCUGUGCCAAUCACCCUCAACUCAUCUCCUGCAGAACUUCCAUGUCGUCAGUGAAUACUGCACAGAGCAUAGCAAAAAAAAAAAAGACUUUCACCUAUCUGUUGAGUCCUUUAAAUGUACAAAUGCUGUUGAGAAAUAUGAAAAAUGUGACGAAUUGACAAUAAAAAAAAGAUGGGAGGCUGUUCCUUAAACAUGCGUAAUCC
rnacentral:lncRNA from 1 species